rnacentral:rRNA from 1 species
UACGUAGGGACCGAGCGUUGUCCGGAAUCAUUGGGCGUAAAGAGCGUGUAGGCGGCCAAUUAAGUCCUGCGUGAAAUCUCGGGGCUCAACCCCCGAGCGGUCGUGGGAAACUGGUUGGCUAGAGUGCGGGAGAGGAGAGUGGAAUUCCUGGUGUAGCGGUGAAAUGCGCAGAUAUCAGGAAGAACACCCGUGGCGAAGGCGGCUCUCUGGAACGCAACUGACGCUGAGACGCGAAAGCGUGGGUAGCAAACAGG